GUCAUAAGUCAAGUUAAUGGUUUGUUUGCUUGCUUGUGUGUGUUUGUGUGUUUCUCUCUCUCUCUUCUACCCUCUCUCUUCCUUCCUCUUCCUCCUCCUCCCCUCUCUCCCUCUCUCUCUCUCUCUCUCUCUCUCUCUCUCUUCACCCCUCUCAUUCAUUCUCUCUCUCCAUCCAUCUCACCCCACUCCCUUUCUUCUUCUCUCAGAAAUUAGAGGUGAUGGUUUAAGAGGCAUCUGAGAGAGGAGUGAGUGGACAUCAGUUCCAUACCGCCCCCUCCUGGUGUCAAGAACAGAAGACAAGGUACAAGUCCACUCCCAGCCCCUCCCAGUGCCUCCUGGGGCCUCAGACCAGUCCAGCCAGCUGAUAGAGGUCCUCACACAGCAACAACAGAAGUGUCUGUGCCAGCAGUUCACCCACAUGGGGGAGGUCACUGAGACAACUAGGUUGGAAGUGCUGGCAGAGGAGUGUAGGAGACACCUGGAGGUAGUGAAACAGGCACAGAGUAGAGGACACCUGUUACCCCCAUACACAGAGGAACGCACCUUCAACACCUACAGGUACACUACCAACACACACCUCACGCACACCUCACGCCCACCUCACGCACACCUCACGCACACCUCACGCAACACACCCAGUCACAAAUGACACAUAGAGGAACUCACCUUCUACACGUACAGGGGCUUGUAACAAGUGCAUUGAGAGACCAGUGCUGUGGCCCUCUAGUGGUGGUGUUGACAUAUAGCCAUUCAGUCCAGUCCUGGGGUUUGUUUCUGCUAGUGCAACGUGAGGUAAGUACAGCCAGACAACCCUAUGGCUUUUUCCAGUUCCAGGCAUUGAAUAAGAAUGAUUUCCCUGAAACGUUUGUGUGUGCGUGUGAGUGUCCACGGCCAACAGAUGGCUGCAUUGACUGUCCCUGACAGAGACUGAGGCAUAGAGACACUGGCCCAGUCUUUUCAUCAAUCCUCUUAUUGAUUAACUGAUUUGCUGAUCCAUGCCAAUGCCCACAGGCUGAUAGAUACACUGGGCCGAGCAGCAAACACACACCCUACAUUCCCCCUCUCCUUGUGUUUCUAUCCAGUAGGAACAUCCCCUCGCUAACAGGUAGUGACAUGGUGUUGACCAUAGUGAAGGGCAUCAAACUCCUGGUCCCUACAGGUAUGAAUAACUUAAUCAUACUGUAGGAUUAUAUCCCCCGUUCUCUCAGGAGGAAGCGCAGAGGGACCAAACCCGCUCUGUGAGAAGCACUACCUGUCCAGGUACCUGCUAUAUAUCACUCCUCAAACACUACCUGUCCAGGUACCUGCUCUUUAACACUCCUCAAACACUACCUGUCUAGGUACCUGCUCUAUAACACUCAUCAAACACUACCUAUCCAGGUACCUGCUCUAUAACACUCCUCAAACACUACCUGUCCAGGUACCUGCUCUAUAACACUCCUCAAACACUACCUGUCCAGGUACCUGCUCUAUAACACUCUUUAAACACCACCUGUCUAGGUACCUGCUAUAUAACACUCCUCAAACACUACCUGUCCAGGUACCUGCUAUAUAUCACUCCUCAAACACCACCUGUCCAGGUACCUGCUCUUAAACACUCCUCAAACACUACCUGUCUAGGUACCUGCUAUAAAACACUCCUCAAACACUACCUGUCCAGGUACCUGCUAUAUAUCACUCCUCAAACACUACCUGUCCAGGUACCUGCUCUUUAACACUCCUCAAACACUACCUGUCUAGGUACCUGCUCUAUAACACUCAUCAAACACUACCUAUCCAGGUACCUGCUCUAUAACACUCCUCAAACACUACCUGUCCAGGUACCUGCUCUAUAACACUCCUCAAACACUACCUGUCCAGGUACCUGCUCUAUAACACUCUUUAAACACCACCUGUCUAGGUACCUGCUCUAUAACACUCCUCAAACACUACCUGUCCAGGUACCUGCUCUAUAACACUCUUCAAACACUACCUGUCCAGAUACCUGCUCUAUAACACUCCUCAAACACUACCUGUCUAGGUACCUGCUCUAUAACACUCCUCAAACACCACCUGUCUAGGUACCUGCUAUAUAUCACUCCUCAAACACUACCUGUCUAGGUACCUGCUCUAUAACACUCCUCAAACACUACCUGUGCAGGUACCUGCUCUAUAACACACCUCAAACACUACCUGUCCAGGUACCUGCUCUAUAACACUCCUCAAACACUACCUGUCUAGGUACCUGCUAAAUAACACUCCUCAAACACCACCUGUCUAGGUACCUGCUAUAUAACACUCCUCAAACACUACCUGUCCAGGUACCUGCUAUAUAUCACUCCUCAAACACUACCUGUCCAGGUACCUGCUCUAUAACACUCCUCAAACACCACCUGUCUAGGUACCUGCUAUAUAACACUCCUCAAACACUACCUGUCCAGGUACCUGCUAUAUAACACUCCUCAAACACUACCUGUUCAGGUACCUGCUAUAUAACACUCCUCAAACACCACCUGUCUAGGUACCUGCUCUAUAACACUCCUCAAACACUACCUGUCCAGGUACCUGCUAUAUAACACUCCUCAAACACUACCUGUCCAGGUAUCUGCUCUAUAACACUCCUCAAACACUACCUGUCUAGGUACCUGCUCUAUAUCACUCCUCAAACACUACCUGUCCAGGUACCUGAUCUAUAUUACUCCUCAAACACUCCAACACACCCUUACGCGCAUCGUUGUCCCAAUGAUGCUAGUCUCCAUAAGACAGUUCUGUUUGAGGUUUUUGAAUCCUUACUCUUCUAUCCAUCUGUCAUUACUCCUUCCUCACUCAUUCUCUCUCUAUAUCUCUAUUUAUUCUUAUUUUAUCCUAUAUUUUUCUCUAUCCCCAUCUGUCAUUACCUCUUAAUUUUGUUGUUUUGCCCCCCCCCCCGGAUGGCCGACCGGUCCUAUCUUUCUGGCCGACUGCUCCUAUCUGACCGGCUGGCCGACUGGUCCUAUCUAGCUAUUCUUUGUGUUUUGAGGGUGGACUGACUGUAUUAUUUGGCAUUAAUAG
rnacentral:lncRNA from 1 species